rnacentral:rRNA from 1 species
UACAGAGGUCUCAAGCGUUGUUCGGAUUCAUUGGGCGUAAAGGGUGCGUAGGCGGCGGUGUAAGUCGGAUGUGAAAUCCCGGGGCUCAACCCCGGAACUGCAUUCGAUACUGCUCUGCUCGAGUACUGGAGAGGAGACUGGAAUUUACGGUGUAGCAGUGAAAUGCGUAGAUAUCGUAAGGAAGACCAGUGGCGAAGGCGAGUCUCUGGACAGUUACUGACGCUGAGGCACGAAGGCCAGGGGAGCAAACGGG